GACGAACGCUGGCGGCGUGCCUAACACAUGCAAGUCGAACGAGGUCCAUGCAGUGGCAACACUGCGGAAGACCUAGUGGCGAACGGGUGAGUAACACGUGAGGAACCUGCCCCGAAGACCGGGAUAACUCUCCGAAAGGAGUGCUAAUACCGGAUACCCCCACCUGGCCGCAUGACCGGGUGAGGAAAUGGAUUCCGCUUCGGGAGGGCCUCGCGGCCUAUCAGCUAGUUGGUGGGGUAACGGCCCACCAAGGCAUCGACGGGUAGCUGGUCUGAGAGGACGAUCAGCCACACUGGGACUGAGACACGGCCCAGACUCCUACGGGAGGCAGCAGUGGGGAAUCUUGCGCAAUGGGCGAAAGCCUGACGCAGCAACGCCGCGUGGGGGAUGAAGGCUCUCGGGUCGUAAACCCCUUUCAGCAGGGACGAAUCAAGACGGUACCUGCAGAAGAAGCCCCGGCUAACUACGUGCCAGCAGCCGCCGUAACAC
rnacentral:rRNA from 1 species